UCUUAUUUCUUUAGCUGGUAUUUUCUCAGUGCUGUCAAUGCAAGACGUUGCAGACGUUAGAUCUUCUCCACUACUGACCUUCACCAUAUGUCGCAGUGUCAUGGCACAUGAUGAACCAUCCUGUACCACUGGCUAAUGAUGGAGCACCAGCUUCUUCCUAGUGAUCACUGAAACUAAGAGCAGCCCCAGGAUUACGGUGGUUAUGAAUUGUGCAGCAUCUCUGUAGAACUGGAGCUGUGGUUUUACUGAAGUAUUAUGGACAUUACACCAUUACGGACUGGGCAGCAUCCUCUGUGAAGGGAUGCCAUGUUUCUGAAGGCACCCUGCAGGCUGGGAGGCAGGAUGUGUGCUGGAAUGGAGCUGUGCUAUCCUACUCUCUUCUCCUGAAGGUCAGUAACACACGAGUAAGUGCGCUCUUCUGAAAAUAGGCUUUAAUUUUCCCCCCUUCAACCUUUUGAUUGGUUUGACAUUUAAAAGGGCAGAAGGUAAUUGGGAGGUUUAUUAUGUAUUUCUGUUAAGUGCAAGAUGAGAACAUUUAAAUACCUCGGGUAGAAAGUGCCACAAGAAAACAGACAGCUUGCUGGAGAAGGAGACAGCAACCUUCU